rnacentral:rRNA from 1 species
AGUGAACGCUGGCGGUAGGCCUAACACAUGCAAGUCGAACGAGUGGCGGACGGGUGAGGAAUGCAUGGGAAUCUACUCUGUCGGGGGGGAUAACUAAGGGAAACUUACGCUAAUACCGCAUACGAUCACAUGAGCCGAGAUGGGAUUAGCUAGUUGGCGGGGUAAAGGCCCACCAAGGCGACGAUCCCUAGCUGGUCUGAGAGGAUGAUCAGCCACACUGGAACUGAGACACGGUCCAGACUCCUACGGGAGGCAGCAGUGGGGAAUAUUGGACAAUGGGCGCAAGCCUGAUGCAGCCAUGCCGCGUGGAUGAAGAAGGCCUUCGGGUUGUAAAGCCCUUUUGUUGGGAAAGCGGUACCCAAAGAAUAAGCACCGGCUAACUUCGUGCCAGCAGCCGCGGUAAUUC